UAUGGCUAUAAGACAAAUACAGAGGCUCACCUAGCAAAGUCACCAAAAGUAAAAGCCAACACACACGGCCACACCUCCUCAUCUACACAAGCGAAACAGAGUAAAAGCAGAUACUUAGGAGUCAUCCCUCACAUUGAAUGCUUCCUCAGACACUGUUUGUUGUUCUCGUGUCUUUUUCUUUUCAAAUCCAACGCACCCGUCUCGUUUCCACCGCCAUUUAUAAUAAUCUCUCCCUCUCUGCCACUCUCUGAUACCAAUGCCAUAAACAAAAGGACAACUACACAAAAACAACACCUACAUUUCAUGGCAGCAACAGCAACAACAACAGCGACAGCAAAAACCACAACAGCGUCAGCUACUGCUCAGCUCAAAGCGCAAACCCACCAACCCACCAAGCCCAAACGCCGCAGGUAUCGGGAAACCACCAUCUCCUCCUCCGCCGCAGCCACCACAGACUCUCCUGGAUAUCACCUGACCCGGAAACCCGACCCACCGGCCAUUGUCUCGCCCGACCACCAUCCCUGGUGCUGCCCAGCAUCGAAGACGCCUCCGCCUCCACCUCCUCCACCGUCUCCUCCACAUACACGAGGUACCCAUAACCGGAGCACGGAACCCAGUAACUCGUCGCCGUCCAAUUCGCCGUCGAGCUUCAGGAUCCGAUUCUCUCCGGGCAGUCAGUCGCCGGUCAUGGACUUCACGUCCACUUCGACCACGAUGAUCAACGGUCACGAUUCAUUCCCGUCGAGCUUCACGAAGUUCAACUCGGCCCUCACUGCCGGGCUGUUGAACCCGAUGUCGCCGCCACCCCCACCCGAAAAGUUGACCCGAUCCAGCCCGACCCUUUUCGAAAUGAUGGCCAGCGAGCCCGAAAUCCACCAACCCAGAACCCAGAUCGCACCCCAAAACGCCGCCGCAAUGGUCCCCAAACCACCCCCGGACGGGCAAGCCCUCACAAUGCAGCGAAUCUCCGAGAUCCUAUCUAGUCGGAGCCCGGGAAACCAGUUCAACGACCCCACCUCGAGCGACAUCAAGCUCACACUGAGCUCCAAAGAGGGUCUCAGUGUGUCAAUGAAUCUCCACCGUCAGAUUCUCGUGGCGCACAGCAGGUUCUUCUCAGUCAAGUUGUCUGAGCGGUGGGCAAAGACGCAGAGAGCAACGGGGUCGCCGUAUAUAGUGGAGAUUGCGGACUGCGACGACGUGGAGGUGUACAUCGAGACGUUGAGGUUGAUGUAUUGUAAGGAUCUGAGGAAGAGGCUCAUGAAAGAGGAUGUUCCCAGAGUUCUUGGCAUCUUAAAGGUAUCAGCAGCGAUUGGGUUUGAUGCUGGAGUGUUAUCUUGCUUGGAGUACUUAGAAGCUGCCCCUUGGGCUGAGGAUGAGGAAGAAAAGGUGGCUUCAUUGUUGUCUGAGCUCCGUCUUGAAGGUGUUGGAGCUGGGGAAGUUUUGAAAAGGGUUUCGGUUGAGGUUACUAAUGGAACUGAGGAUGGUAAUGACAAUGAAGGAGUGCUGCUUAAACUUUUACAUGUAGUUCUUGAAGGCAAAGAUGAGAAGGCGAGGCGGGAAAUGAAGGGAUUGGUGUCGAAGAUGCUUCGUGAGAACUCGGCGCAGAGUGAUCUCCGGAAGGAUUCGUUGUACUCGGCUUGUGAUGGGUGUUUGCAGUUGCUUUGCCACCAUUUUUUGAGGGUAGCAGGGUCGGACUUACAGGAUGUGGGUCAGAUUGCGCGACAAGCGGAUAAUUUGCAUUGGAUUUUGGAUAUUCUGAUAGAUAGGCAGAUUGCUGAAGAUUUUUUGAAAACAUGGGCAUCUCAAUCUGAAUUGUCCAGUGCACAUUCUAAAGUGGCUGCAGUUCAUAGGUUUGAGGUUAGCAGAGUUACUGCACGGCUUUUUGUUGGGAUUGGGAAGGGGCAACUAUUGGCUUCUAAGGAUGUGAGGUGCUUGCUAUUACGGACAUGGCUGGAGCCAUUCUAUGAUGAUUUUGGGUGGAUGAGAAGGGCAUCAAAAGGCCUUGAUCGUCACCUAAUUGAAGAUGGUCUUAGUAACACAAUUCUCACUCUGCCUCUAGCUUGGCAGCAGGAAAUUUUGCUAGCUUGGUUUAAUCGUUUCUUGAACUCUGGUGAAGAUUGUCCAAACAUACAAAGAGGUUUUGAAGUUUGGUGGAGGAGGGCUUUUUGGAGACGAAAUGGCGAGCAGGAAAGGCAACGACCAUUAAGAAUUACAACUGCCACUGUUGAGAACUAGAAGUCUAUACUUGCACAAUGUAGGAAAGGUUGGUGCUCUAACGGCUCUGUUGUCUCCCAAUUCCCCUAUGUAAUGACUUUGGUUAUGAUCCUUCAUUGAUGGUUGUAUUUUUUCUUUGGCUUCUUCCUUUCUAAACCGGGAUGGGCAGUUGUUCAUCGAGGAGUUAACUUCCAUAGAGGUGUAUCCUGUAUUUACCUUGACUGGAAGUAGCUGGGUUUAGCCUGGAAGAAGAUAAAGACCUCUUGGUGCAAAGUCCUUAUCACGUUGAGAAGUAAACUGAGUAAACUGUUUCAGAGAGAUAAAAGAUGGGCUUUAGGAUGUUGGACGUUACAUGCUAAGAUGAUCACUAUGCAAGUAUUACUGUUCAGAACAGCAUAGAUAAUUGGUACUUUUGUGGCCUGAUAAUAUUAAAUUUAGAUGAUUGUUCUUUUUAUUUAAUUUUUUUGACCUAAGUAUUCUUAGGAAUAACUUAUGCAAGGGUUUUCCUGUGGGAAUAUAACUUGCUUCUUCAUUGAUCUUUGAUUCUGUGAACUUAAUAUGCUAGAGGAGGCUGGGGGAUUCCCAUUCUACCA